rnacentral:rRNA from 1 species
UACGUAGGGACCAAGCGUUGUUCGGAUUUACUGGGCGUAAAGGGCGCGAUAGGCGGCAUGACAAGUCACUUGUGAAAUCUCCGGGCUUAACUCGGAACGGUCAAGUGAUACUGUCGCGCUAGAGUGCGGAAGGGGCAAUCAGAAUUCUUGGUGUAGCGGUGAAAUGCGCAGAUAUCAGGAAGAACACCCGUGGCGAAGGCGGCUCUCUGGGACGGUACUGACGCUGAGACGCGA